UUGUUGUUGUUGACUGACGUUUCGACAACCUUAGCGGUAGUCAUCUUCAGUCAUCUUCAGUCCUUUUUGACUCAGAAGGAACAUUACCUAUUGUUCAUAGGAUUAAAUUUGAUAGAUAUCAGGUAAUUUGUUUAAACAUUGAAUGCAAAAACAAACAUGAUGUGGAACAAAUGACAUUCAUAAACGAUGCUUAAAGAUGUUAUUCAAUUCAUGUUUUGACAAUAAUAAACUACGAAGCGUCAUGAGAAACAAUUAUCUUUCUAACGAAGUUCAACAAGACAACACACAAACAAGCAACAUAUUUAACGUGUUCAAAAGAUUUGUGGUACUUACAAAGUACGAGGCAUAAUGGAAAACACUUGACUUUCGUACAUAGUUAAACAAGACGACAAAAAUGAAAGAAGUAGUAUAAUCUGUUCAAAAAUAUAUUUGGUUGGGGAAAGGCAUGCAGUAAAGCAAAGUAAAGUUGGUGCCAUAAAUAUCCUUAAAUUUCUGCGAAUUACCGAAAGACGUGUCAUUUGAUUGCCGAUGUAUUUAAACGUUUAAUAGAAAAUGAAGAUCGUCAACAUCUGCGAUUGCAACUGGACAAAAAAUAAAAUUUUUGACGUUGGGGAAUUUAUUUAACAGCAUAUGUGAAAUACAUUUGAGAAAUUACGUUACUUAAAUGUCGAUGAAGAGCAAUGAAUUCGAUGGCAGAGCGAAUAAACAAUGAAAGUACGAAAAAAGAAACGAAAAUUUGAGUCUUAACAUUUACCCCGAACAAGCUAUGGAUAUAAAAGAAGAAUGUGUUUAAAAGGACGUGUUGAAGACAGCCGAGUCAUUUGGUCGCUGAGUUGGAGUCGGGUCGAAAGAUUGUCGUGAAAGUUGGUUG